AAUCCAUAGGUUAAUGAGGCGAACCGGGGGAACUGAAACAUCUAAGUACCCCGAGGAAAAGAAAUCAACCGAGAUUCCCCCAGUAGCGGCGAGCGAACGGGGAGGAGCCCAGAGCCUGAAUCAGCAUGUGUGUUAGUGGAAGCGUCUGGAAAGGCGCGCGAUACAGGGUGACAGCCCCGUACACAAAAGCGCAUGUGCUGUGAGCUCGAUGAGUAGGGCGGGACACGUGGUAUCCUGUCUGAAUAUGGGGGGACCAUCCUCCAAGGCUAAAUACUCCUGACUGACCGAUAGUGAACCAGUACCGUGAGGGAAAGGCGAAAAGAACCCCGGCGAGGGGAGUGAAAAAGAACCUGAAACCGUGUACGUACAAGCAGUGGGAGCCCCACCACUAAGCCAGUGGUGAACUCCACAUACGCAUCCUUUGCUGAGGAUACGGUUAACGGAGCGAAAGCGACGUUCAACCGCAAAACAAGCAGAGGGGGCUUAGUGGUGGGGUGACUGCGUACCUUUUGUAUAAUGGGUCAGCGACUUAUAUUCUGUAGCAAGGUUAACCGAAUAGGGGAGCCGGAGGGAAACCGAGUCUUAAUUGGGCGUUAAGUUGCAGGGUAUAGACCCGAAACCCGGUGAUCUAGCCAUGGGCAGGUUGAAGGUUGGGUAACACUAACUGGAGGACCGAACCGACUAAUGUUGAAAAAUUAGCGGAUGACCUGUGGCUGGGGGUGAAAGGCCAAUCAAACCGGGAGAUAGCUGGUUCUCCCCGAAAGCUAUUUAGGUAGCGCCUCGUGAAUUCAUCUCCGGGGGUAG
rnacentral:rRNA from 1 species